rfam:Dialister micraerophilus DSM 19965 genomic scaffold SCAFFOLD1, whole genome shotgun sequence.
GCGGAAGUAGCUCAGUGGUAGAGCACCACCUUGCCAAGGUGGGGGUCGCGGGUUCGAGUCCCGUUUUCCGCU